rnacentral:rRNA from 1 species
UACGAAGGGGGCUAGCGUUGCUCGGAAUCACUGGGCGUAAAGCGCACGUAGGCGGCUUUUUAAGUCAGGGGUGAAAUCCUGGAGCUCAACUCCAGAACUGCCUUUGAUACUGAGAGGCUCGAUCCGGGAGAGGUGAGUGGAACUGCGAGUGUAGAGGUGAAAUUCGUAGAUAUUCGCAAGAACACCAGUGGCGAAGGCGGCUCACUGGCCCGGUACUGACGCUGAGGUGCGAAAGCGUGGGGAGCAAACAGG